UGAAGGCAGCUCGGCUGCAGCGCGCCCUGCUCCUCGGGGUUACUACCGGGCAUCGCGCGGGCGGGGCGGGCGCUGGGAGGGACAGCCCGUCCUCUGCCUCAGGAACCACCAUAGCGGAAACACUCCCAGCCAUCUGGAGAGGUCUGAGGCUCUCAGUCACAUCAGCCUCGAUGAUGGUAUAAAGGAGUCUGUGGUAAUUCUUCCUCUUCAGGGACUCCCCACCUUCCUGGCAUCCCACCGGAUCUUGGGAGGAUCAAGGAACAGAUUUUCAAGAAAUACCUUUUCGUGCAGGGGUCCAAGCCCCUCUCUACCUACCUCUGAUCUCUGAAUGCGGACAAUGAUCCCCCAACGGGUGCAAAUAGGAUACCUAGGUUUGGCCAGGCUCUGUCACUGGGCACACCCAGAUCCCUCUCCCAGGUGAUUCUAGAUUCUGUCAAGUUGAAACGGCUAAUCAUCACAGGUACCAACAAACAUAGAGCUUCUUUGCAUUUCUACAUUGCAUAAUCAUGAUAAUGAUGUGAGCCGAUUGAAUGCAAAUUUCUGAUCUGUUUCAUGAUGAAGAGACUGUGGCUAAAGACAAGUGUUCCAGGUGCUGUGUUACUGUCUUUCCUGCAUUCAUUUAAUUCUAACAACCUCGCAAGACAGGGUUUUAUGUAGUCCAGGCUGGCCUAUGGAGUUGAGGAUGACCCUGAAUUUUUGAACUUCUGCCUCCACCUGCCAGGUGCUGGGUUUACAGGCAUGCAUCAGUCUCUGUGCCCAGUGUUAUGUGGUGAUGAAGAUUAACCUCAGGGAUUCGUGCAUACCAGCAUGGAUGGAGGCUGGCAGUAUUGUUCAAGCAUUAGACUGAGGCCACGAGAGGAAUCUCUUGAAACAAAAACACGGUGCAUUUCUUUGCCAGGGCUGUCGUAACAAAUGCCGUGGUGUGGAAGCUGAAACAACAGAAUCUACUUCCUCACAGUUUGGGAGGUCCCAGCUCCAAGAGCAAGGUGUCCACAGGAUGGGAGUCCUGAUCUCCUGACUUGCAAUCACCUUCUUGCUGUGUCCAUAGAAACUCUUUUUCUCCUCCUGUGUUUUUCUUCCUAGUGCCUGGAGUCAACGUCUCUUCUUCUUAUAGGGUACUAGUUAGGGACCUUAACAGACCCAUUUAUCUUCACUUUUACUUUCUUGAAUGGCUAAGGUUCAAAGGGCCUUGAGUAUGCUGAGUGCUCUACCCCUAAGCUACAUACUGAUAUAUAGCAUCUCACUUCAUCUAUUCCUGUUUACCUCUUUUGAGUCUUGUAUGGAGUGGAGUUCCCACUUCCCUUAAAACAAACUAUUCAACUGAACUGGUCUAUCUAUAGUUGAUAGUAGCUGCAUAAUUUGGGCUAAUUAAAAUAUGAUCUUAAAAAGCAAGUUCUGGCCAGGCGGUGGUGGCGCACGCCUUUAAUCCCAGCACUCGGGAGGCAGAGGCAGGAGUAUUUCUGUGAGUUCAAGGCCAGCCUGGUCUCCAAAGCAAGUUCCAGGAAAGGUACAAAGCUACACAGAGAAACCCUGUCUCGAAAAACCAAAAAAAAGAGCAAGUUCUGGCUGGGCAUAUGGGUGCAUGCCUUUAAUCCCAGCACUUGGGAGGCAGAUGCAGGUGGAUCUGUGCAUUCAAGGCCAGCCUGGUCUAUAGAGUGAGUUCCAGGACAGCCAGAGCUAUAUAGUGAUGCUCUGUCUCAAAGAAACCAAAACAACAACAAAAAUAAACAAAUAAAGGCAAGUUCAGGACAAUUUGAGGCCAUCCCAAAACCAUUUACUUGAGUGAUUCCUUGCCAUAAGGGGACACAAGUGGAAGAGUAUAUUUAAGAUGCUGAGUUUUAAAUAUUGCCUUCCUAAACUUAAACAUCUGAAUAUGCAGUUUUCAAAUAGUAGCAUAAACCCUAACAUUGUAAGUAAGAACUCAUAAAAUAAUUAUUUUCUGAGAUUGGGGAUUCAAAUCAGAUGGAAGAGGGUUUUGACAGUUCUGCUGCUAUGCAUCUGGGGAAGCUAGCAUUUUGAAUGGUGUGCAUUAUCGCUCAUUGGCAUUUCAUUUGGAUCCUCUCAGCAUCUUCCUGGUAAGUGCAUACUUAUUUUUAUGCUUGGCUUCAAUACUGCUGAACCACCUCAUAGGAGGGCUUUGCAGAAAUACUAAUGAGUGUGAUUGCCAUGCAUUUUGCAAAUCUGAAGUACGACCAAAAUGUCCAGUGCAAUAGUAAUAUGGUACCAUGGAGGCUAAAAUAAUGGCCAUUCUAUCCAAUUUUAGAAGAGGAGCUGAGGGGUUAGGAAAAAAAAAUUGGCUAACUACAUAGGCAGCCAGAGCUAGGACUCUGAUUCUCUGUAUCAGUGACAGCAGCAUGACAUGAUAAAUAAUUUUAACUUUUCAUUUUUAAUGUUACUUUUUCACUGUGGUUUGGUUUAAUGUUAUUUAUAUUGAAGCAAAACUUCACUUGAGAGUGUCAUGUACAGUUAGUGUGAUAGUUUGAAUGUAACUGGCUCCCAUAAUCUCAUAAGGAGCGGCAUGAUUAGGAAGUAUGGCUUUGUUGGAGUGGGUAUAGCCUUGUUGGAGGAAGUAAGUCAGGAUGGAGGUGGGCUUUGAGAUUUCCUAUGCUCAGGAAACCACCCAGUACAUCAGUCAACUUUCUGUUUCCUGCAACAUUAGGACUCUUAGCUACAAUUCCAGCACCAUGUCUGCCUGCAUGCCACCAUGCUCUCUGCCAUGAUGAUAAUGGACUGAACCUCUGAAACUGUAAGAGAGCCACUCCAAUUAAAUGUUUUACUUUAUAAGAGUUGCUGUGGUCAUGAUGUCUCUUCACAGCAAUAGAGACCCAAACUAAGAGAGACGCCACAGAGAACCAGAUAUACUGUUAUAGUGAACAGCCUAUCUCCAAACUAUUAAUAGCAAUUUUAUUCAUAAAACUUAAAGAUUAUAAAUUUAUCUUGCUAGAAUAAAAAUUAGAACUUUAUCUCUCAUAAAACAAGGUAUCUUUUGCUAUCCUUCGCUUUCCUGCUCAUUCAUGAACUCAACUGAUAUUUUGAUGGCUACGUAUGAAAGGCUAGGGAAAGGCAAGAGAAAGUAAGUAUGGAUAGAAUUGGCAUCAUACAUGGAAACAACAGUUCCCUGUUGGUUUCAAUUGAAGAUAACCAAUGAUGGAGAGACCUCAGAGAAAUAAAUAGAAGAGGCAGCCUAGGAUGAGGAGCAGAUGGAAGUAAUGCCACAGUCUGUCUUGGUACAGGCCUUGAAAUGGGGCAUGGGAACUUGGAGACUGAUCCCUAUAAAUUACUGCAGCCCCUUAGGAAAGUGAGUGAAGCCAGAGAGGAAUGCAAGUACCACAUUCAAUGACACGCAGGAUUUGGGAUAAUGGAUCAGAAGGGUGAACUCCUACCGUCAACUACGAGAGAACACAUUUGUCCAGUGACAUACUGGACUUUAAGUUCCCAGAGGAGGAGGAGGGGAAGCUGCCUGGAGAAACCUGCUAAACCUGCUAUUAUGGAGUAGGUAGAGAACAGAAAGAAGAAACUUGCUGUAGGAAUUGCAGUGAGUCAUUAAAAAAUAGUAAGUGGGAGAAGAGGUAGAAACAAGACUAAGAGUUCUGGGUGACCAUAUGCCACAGCACUGUGCCUCGAUAAGAAUGUGGACACUUCAAAUCCUAUUAGAGGACAGAAAGGGCAAUCCUUCCUUUGGGAUUUCUCCAGUGCUGGCAGUAGAACCUUAAGCUUCAUGCAUGCUGGGGGACCAUUCUGCCAUGGUCCCAUAUCCCUAGCAGAAAGUGCAGUCUUUUGAAGUUCACUGAAUUUGGUUGGGUGGGGUGAACCUGCUGCCAAUUAUAUAGAAUGGUACCUAACUCACAGUUAUUACCUGAAAUGGAAAAACUAGCUCUUAAGGUCUUGCAAAUUCCUUAUAUGUCACCAGCCCUCCUCUUAGCUCAACAAAUGGGCUAUACUCCAUUCAGUCUUGCAGCUCAGUGCUCUCUUCUGUUUAUGAGGCCAAUAUUCACAUUCUGUUAUCCUGUCUCAUAAGUACUGAUGGGACCUACUCAUUUUUCUCCUUCUCUAAAUACCACCACUUUACCACACUAUUAUCAUUUCCAGGUUUAGCCCAAUAUAUUCCUACCCAGUCUCCCUAAUUCCAACCUCCAUAAAGUUGCCACCAGGCAGUCAUGCCCAUCCUUUUAAAGCCAAAUUUAUUUAUGUCACUUCCUAUGUGACACAUCACUCUAGGUCAAUACAAAAGGAACUCUUGAACACAGCCUAUAACAUACACAGGUUCUAUCUCUACCUGAUGCUUGAGUUUCAUCCUCCAGUUGCUGAGCUCCUAAAAUAUUCCAGGCUCCUUCUCAUCCUGAGUCUGGGCACUUGCCAUUUGUCUAACACUCUCCUGACAUCUUUACUUUGCUAAUUCCUACUUACCAUUCAAAUCUGUUUACCUGUUGGUUUUCUCUGGGAAACCUUUCUUGACCACCCAUACAAUAGGACUGUAUUGAGUACCCUACUGAGUACCCCUUUUACAUUCUAUCAUCACAAUUCAUAGCAAAGGCAGGAUAGAUUGUGAAAUACUAUAUAUUUAUUAAACAGACAAAACACGUAUAUCCUACAUUUAAAGCCUAGUUCAAAAAAGAAACCUAUCAUGGUGUUGGAUGUUGAUAGUUUGGGAUGGUGGGUUUGAGUGUGUGGGGGUAGAGGCAUGGGGCGGGGGGAGGGUAAGGCUACUUACAAAAGCCUUCUAUACUUUCUGUUCAAUUUUGUUGGGAACCUAAAGCUACUUGGAACAUACAAUCUGUUACUAAUUAAAAAUAAAUGAGUAUGGAAAAUGCAUAACUUAAUCACAUUUAAGGGAAAUAGUGUAAUAGAUCCCUGUGGACCCACCACCUUAGUCAUAAUACAAUUGGGGGAUUUGGAACAGCUCAUGAAAUCAUGUUUUUAAAUUGACUUCAGAUUUUGUGACUGGUAUCAUAAUAAAAUUAUUUACAUUUGGUGGAUAUGGUGGAAGUGACCAACGACAAUGCCCCUUUUCAACACAAGCCUCCCAUGAGACAGCAUGAUUAGGAUUGUUGGGUCCUUGAAGCAUCUGAGUGUACUUGCGCAGCUCUUGGGUUCAGUGGAGUAGCAGGCAUGCAGUGCUGGCCACUUCACUGUGGUAUUUGGCUGUCAAGAUGCACCGCUUCUCUCAAACUAACAUGAAAAUGCGAAUUCCCUUCAACAACAUUUGCCUUUGUACUUUAGUACUUUUGGACAAAAGCAAAGGCAAUUGCUUCAUGUGAGCUGGAAACAUGAAUAAAUGAAUACUUCAAAAAUAGAAUGUUACAGCUAGAUCUUAAAUGUUCCUCAUAGGCCCUUGGUGUUCCUGGGAUGUGAAGGAAGCUUUAGGAGGUAGGGCCAAGUAGGAGUUAAGUCCUUGUUGGUGUGCUCCUGAAGGGGACAUGAACUCAGGUCCUUUCUCUUCCCAUCUUCUGCUCUGGGCCUCUCCACUUUCUGUACUUCUGUCUAGAUCAGACUUUUGUCCUGAUCCAGCAAACUCCCAUCUGUCCUUCAGAUCUUAACUCCAGUGACUCUUGACCUCUCAAGGAGCUAUGGCUGAUCCUCAGACCCUCUGUGACAUAGAGGACCUUGUCUGUGUCAGUAUUCAUUUUCAGGGACCCUGCAGCUCACGUUGUCAUUCUGUUUAUAGACUGUCACAGAAAAACCAUUGAUCUUUAUGGUGAGACACUAUAGUGAUGAAGUUAAACAGUGACAAAUAAGUUUGUCAUUUGUGAGACCUAGGUCCAAAUGCGUCCCCCAGUUAUUGGUUCUGUGCCUUGGGCAAUUUCUGAAAUCUAUGGUUUGUUACUUUUUCCCUCUUCUAGGUUUUGCUUGUUUGAUAUGAGCUCUCACUCUAUAGCCUAGGUUAGCUUUGAGCUCAUGUUCCUCUUGCCUCAGUCUCCCAAAUACGGGGUUGCAUCAUAUUUUAAGUGAAAAUAUGACAUCCCCAUCUCAGAAUUGUCACAAGGGUUAUGAGAACUGAUGAAUCACUUAGAAGAAUGCACUGAGCGUGUAGUCGACGCUCAAUAAAGAUGUGCAGAAUGGAAGGCAGGAAGGGGAAAAAAGAGAAAAGGAACGAGAGAAAGGAGGAGUGAAUGAUUCCCCACGGGAAAAAGCAAACAGAACAUCUCCACAACUGUUAAGGGAUUCUGAUCUAAAGACUGCUCUUUUCUAUGUGGCUGUGAGUGAACCAGAAGGAUCUUGAUGUUCUGCAGUUGAAAGGCAUAUGUUUAGACUCGAUGUCUCCUGGUGCCUGGAGAAGACCCUGAGCUGACUCCCCACUCUCCUCCUGGGCUGAUGCAGUUUUCAUCUCCCUGCUGCUCUGUACUGGCUUUGGGCUUAUUACCCUUGGUGGGUUUCAUCAACUUUAUUAAUUUGAAAAUACGUACUGCAUAUCUACUGGCGCAGAACACGAUAGCCAACAUAAACAUGAAAUAAUAGGAUGUUUUCAAGUCUGUCUUCCUGUCAUUUGGAAGUGAGUACCAUUAAGCAUGCAAGAAGCAAUUCUAGGUAUGAUGAGAUGCUGGAUGUGGAGGUCAUGUGAGUGGACAUCUCAUCACUGGAGUGAGGGAUCUGGAUGAUGUAUAGUUUUAGCUAAGAAAAGUUUAACUUCUAGUACUCCCAGAAAGUUGAACACUGUAGCUGACCCUUGGGGGGAUAAAAGGGACAUGAAGCCCUGCUCCUGCCCUCAGGGAGCUGACUGCCAAAUCUGGAAGACUGGACAAUGAGAUACGUACAACCUAGAGAUAAGGACAGAGAAGACAAUAAGGAAGUGCCUGAGGUUUCAAAGCUGUAAAUGAUAGAGCAGAUUGGAAACAUGGCGGAGUGCAUUGGUGCCAUUAUCAGGUACUAUACCAGCAAUUAGGAAUAAGAUACAAUAAGCCAGUUUCCUAACCUCAAAGACUUAAUAAAAAAAAAAAGGCAGAAGGGACAUAAGCGUAAAGAAACAAUAUAAUCCAUCCAUUCAACGCUUUUUGGGUAUCUAUUAGGUUCCAAGUUAAAGGGUAAAAUGAAAGGAAGGAAGGAAGGAAAGAAAGACUGUGGUAGAAGAAUCUCAAGUUCAAGGAAUCAAUGAAUAAACAAACCUUUCAAUAGAAGGUAUUAAAUGUCAAAGUAGGUAAAGUUUACAUUUCCAGAGUCUAAAGAUGGAGGGUAAAGGGGCAAUAAAUUCUUUCUGAGGUCAAGGAGGUUUCUGAAGGGGACACACACACACAUACACACACACACACACACACACACACA